CAAGACUUCCGAGCUUUGCAUAAAACAGAAAGGGACAGGCAGUGGGAAUGUUUCCUGUUUGCCACAGAACAGGUUUGGCAGUGGCUGAGGGAGAAGCAGUUCUAUGGAAAGGUAGGAACUGUGAAGUUCAGUUUAUUCUCUGUAUGUCAAUUUACAGUGGAAAACACACUGAUACUUUAAAGAUAGUUUUUAGGAGGACAUACUUGACAUAACUUUACGCCAGUGAUUUUGACCUUUGUACUAGUUUGCAGUGAUCGGGUUGAUAUGUUACACCCAAAGACACAGGAACAUGUAAUGAGAAUAGUUCAUGUUAUGUUUUCAUUUAAAUUCUUUUUUAACUUUAACUUUUAUAAAAUGUUUUUUCAGUGAUGUGGUUUACCUUAGGGGAGUGACUUUGUUUUUGUAAGUGUUCUAAGUAACUUAGAGACUACAGUUGUCUUUGUUGCCAGUUGUGCCUCAGUAAGGCACUGCUCACUUUGUGUCUCUUUCCUUGAACACGGUUUUCAUUUUCACUUUACCAGCGGCAACGGACACUUUUCCUCUGUGAAAAAAAUGGACCCUUUCAAAGGACCUUGUCCUCAUCAGAGUGCUCCUGUUGAGACUGAUGAGAGCAUGACAUCCUCCAGUCUGGACUUGGUCUGGCCUCCUUCUUGUAAACAGUGCACACGCCAAGCAGAGACCAGCAACAGGCCACAGAACCAUGACUGUGAGCCAAUCAGGGGAGCAGUCAAAGCCGGACAGAGGAGACUCGCUGAGAGCUGCUACCAGCAAGAAUCCAGAGCAGACUGCAGUGCUGCUCCGGAACCUUGCUUUACACCCCAAAAGCACUCGGGACACAUGACACCCCCCCGCCCUGCAGGUGUCUGGCCUCAUGGCCUCAGAGAUCAGGCACCGCAGUAUGAAUGGGCGCACAGCGUUAACCACAGUAGAGGCUUUGCAGGCCCUUCAAACUGGUCCAAGGGCUGCUCCGUGGAGGAGGCAGAAUGCUUGGAAGUCCCUUUGCCGCUCAUGUCUGCAGCAGAGGGCCACUACCCCUACUUUGUCCCAUCCCAAUUCCCUGCAGCCCAAAGGCCUGCUCUGUGUAAGUGCUCAAUUAUCAAUUGA
rnacentral:lncRNA from 1 species